CCUACGGGGGACAGCAGUGGGGAAUAUUGCACAAUGGGGGAAACCCUGAUGCAGCGACGCCGCGUGAGUGAAGAAGUAAUUCGUUAUGUAAAGCUCUUUUGUCGGGGAGCAAAAGCCGGACGUGUCCGGCUGUGAGAGUACCCGAAGAAAAAGCAUCGGCUAACUCCGUGCCAGCAGCCGCGGUAAUACGGAGGAUGCGAGCGUUAUCCGGAUUUAUUGGGUUUAAAGGGUGCGCAGGCGGAUUUUUAAGUCAGCGGUCAAAUCGUGGGGCUCAACCCCAUCCAGCCGUUGAAACUGGGGAUCUAGAGUGUGCGAGAGGUAUGCGGAAUGCGUGGUGUAGCGGUGAAAUGCAUAGAUAUCACGCAGAACCCCGAUUGCGAAGGCAGCAUACCGGUGCACAACUGACGCUCAGGCACGAAAGCGUGGGUAUCGAACAGGAUUAGAUACCCGUGUAGUC
rnacentral:rRNA from 1 species